GAAACCUACUGAGGUCGGGGGUCGAACAGCCUCACUCGGCCGUGGGAAAGGGCAGAGCAACAUUCUGGCAGCCGAUGAGUAGAACCGUGUGCUCCAGACUUUAGAGCCACAGGCAGAGUUGGAGGCCGAGAAACCCAGUGCCACGGGCAGGAUGACAGACGCUCCUGCUGCCCCCAGAGAGGCGGGGAGGUGCAGUCACAUAUUCACUCGGCAAACGCUUAUGAAGCUAAGUGCCAAGUGCCGUGCCAGGUUCUGGGGACUCGCAGAGGAAUAAGGCCUGGCCCUCGUGCUUGUGGGCGGAGGAAGGAAAAUAAACAAGAUCGUGAGCAAGUUCUACAGUAGAGUACUCAGGCUCUCUCCAAGACGGGCUGAUGGAGAUGUGUGAGUGAGUCAACACACGCAUGGCAUGGAGCAGUCGCUCACCUGGAUUUUGAGAGGCAGCCAUGGACAGGAAGGCAAGAGAGAGAGCAUGGGGGUUGGCAAACCCUUCAGAGUGCUCUCCUCCACUCUGGUGGGUGCACACCCAUACUCCGGUCUGAGCAAAGCAUGAAGAACUCUCAGGAGAGAAAUCAGAAAUGUGAAGUCCUGAAUGAAGAUGGAAACGAGAGCCCUGAAAUUCCUCGGCACUGGGGCAGCCUCAGGACCAGAUGCUGCUGGAGGCAAACCAGAUGAGCCGGUGCAGGCCCCGCCAAGCUCCAGCACUGUGGCUUCUCAAAAGACCCUUGUCCCCAGUCAGCAUGUUUUUCUGGAUGACUCCAUGGACAUGAGUCUCAAGGGUGCUGCACUUGGUUACCACUUCAAGCAUGCUGCAUUUUUCCGGAGGAAAGUCGUGAGUAAACAAAUUUUUCAAAUCAAGGCAAUGUUCCUAGGAACCUCCAGGACCAUUUCAGAGAGGCUUCAUCUCUAUUUCUGACUGGUCUGUAGUUGGCAGCACUUCUGACCAUAGCAUUUCUGUAAAGGUAGGUAAUGAGCCGUAAAGAAACUCUUCCAUGCACCAUGGGAAGCACACACUUAAGGAAAUC